rnacentral:rRNA from 1 species
UACGGAGGGUGCGAGCGUUGUCCGGAAUCACUGGGCGUAAAGCGUGCGCAGGCGGUUUUGUAAGCCAGAUGUGAAAUCCCCGGGCUCAACCUGGGAAUGGCAUUUGGGACUGCAAGGCUUGAGUGCGGCAGAGGAGACUGGAAUUCCUGGUGUAGCAGUGAAAUGCGUAGAUAUCAGGAGGAAUACCGAUGGCGAAGGCAGGUCUCUGGGCUGACACUGACGCUCAUGCACGAAAGCGUGGGGAGCAAACAGG